AUGUCAUCAUGCAUAUUUCAUUUGCAUACGUGUUCGACUCAUGCAUCCGAGCAUUUUCCCCGUUGUCCGUUUUGGAAUCCGGCGCUCCUAUGUCAUCCGGUGUCCCUUUCUACCUCUUUUCGUGUGCAUGUGUUAAACGUUUUCGGAUUGGACCGAGACUUGUCAUGUGGCCUUGGAUUACUACCGGUAGACCGCCCGUCAAGUUUCGUACCAUUUGGACUUCGUUUGAUACUCCAACGGUUAACCGAGGGAUCGAAAAGGCCUCGUGUGUGUUGCAGCCCAACACCCCUCCAAAGUGGCCCAAAAACCAACUAA
rnacentral:rRNA from 1 species